rnacentral:rRNA from 1 species
GAGGAAUAUUGCACAAUGGAGGAAACUCUGAUGCAGCAACGCCGCGUGGAGGAUGACGCAUUUCGGUGUGUAAACUCCUUUUAUGAGUCAAGAAAAUGACGGUAGCUCAUGAAUAAGCACCGGCUAACUCCGUGCCAGCAGCCGCGGUAAUACGGAGGGUGCAAGCGUUACUCGGAAUCACUGGGCGUAAAGGACGCGUAGGCGGGUUGUCAAGUCAGGUGUGAAAUCCUACAGCUUAACUGUAGAACUGCACUUGAAACUGGCAACCUAGAGUAUGGGAGGGGAAGAUGGAAUUAGUGGUGUAGGGGUAAAAUCCGUAGAUAUCACUAGGAAUACCUAAAGCGAAGGCGAUCUUCUGGAACAUAACUGACGCUAAGGCGUGAAAGCGUGGGGAGCAAAC